rnacentral:rRNA from 1 species
GACGAACGCUGGCGGCGUGCCUAAUACAUGCCAGUCGAACGCAGUGGGGACGGGUGAGUAACACGUUGGUAACCUCCCAUCAGAGGGGAUAACACUUGGCAACAGGUGCUAAACCGAUACUGAUGGAUGGACCCGCGGUGCAUUAGCUAGUUGGUGAGGUACCGGCUCACCUAGGCUACGAUGCCUAGCCGACCUGAGAGGGGGAUCGGCCACACUGGGACUGAGACACGGCCCAGACUCCUACGGGAGGCAGCAGUAGGGAAUCUUCGACAAUGGACGAAAGUCUGACCGAGCAACGCCGCGUGAGUGAAGAAGGUUGUCGGAUCGUAAAACUCUGUUGUUAGAGAAGCGGUAUCUAACCAGAAAGCCACGGCUAACUACGUGCCAGCAGCCGCGGUAAUAC